rnacentral:rRNA from 1 species
CGCUGGCGGCGUGCCUAAUACAUGCAAGCCGAACGGUCUUUCUAUGGAAGCUUGCUUCCACUGAGAAGAUAGUGGCGAACGGGUGAGUAACACGUGGGUAACCUGCCCAUAAGAGGGGGAUAACAUCCGGAAACGGGUGCUAAUACCGCAUAGUUUUCUUGAUCGCAUGAUUGAGAAAGGAAAGACGGCCUUUGUGCUGUCGCUUAUGGAUGGACCCGCGGCGUAUUAGUUAGUUGGUGAGGUAACGGCUCACCAAGACGAUGAUACGUAGCCGACCUGAGAGGGUGAUCGGCCACAUUGGGACUGAGACACGGCCCAAACUCCUACGGGAGGCAGCAGUAGGGAAUCUUCCGCAAUGGACGAAAGUCUGACGGAGCAACGCCGCGUGAGUGAAGAAAGGUUUUCGGAUCGUAAAACUCUGUUGUCAGAGAAGAACAAGUUGGAGAGUAACUGCUCCAGCCUUGACGGUAUCUGACCAGAAAGCCACGGCUAACUACGUGCCAGCAGCGGC